rnacentral:rRNA from 1 species
AUGCCGGCGGGCCGGCGGAUCAGCGCCGGCCGCCUCCACCUUCACCUCCUCCUCCAUGACCUACGCAGCCGGACGCCCGAGGUGAUCGCGUGCUAUGAGUGCGUGUUGUUUGAUCCAACUGGAACUUCUUACUGUUCAAGAAUGAUGCUUCGUGAUGUAAAGAUGUUCUGUUUAAGUGGGAGCCGUGAAGGGCCUAAUCUGUGCAAUCUUAAGUUUCAGAAAUAUGGUAGUAGUCCAUAUAGAGUACAAGAGCUGACCAAUGUGGUGAGGAGUGGAAGGUGUAUGGAGUUUCAAUUAGAUUGGGUGGCCACCGGCGUCCAUGAGACUCCAGAGCAACAUGGCAGACUUGUUAAUGAAAGGGUGUUCCUUUAUCAUGUGCCCAACAAUCUUUGCACUGAUUCUUGCAAGGGAUCCUUGAGGAAGCUAAUGGUCGGCUUUUUCCUGAAGGGAUUGAGAUUACCAAGAUUCGGAUCAGAUCCCUGCUUUGUCAGCGCAGGAGAACUGCUCAAGCACGUUUUCAAUCUCGCCGACUUCGCUGGAGUGGCGUGCGCCCAUGCUCAAGUAGAGGAACUGGAUGGAGCAAGGUCCACAUGCCUUAAAUUUCUUAAAGAUCUCCUGCACUUGCUUAAUUUACCCAGUGGAGUAAACAAAAGCUGGGUCCAGUACUACUGCAUGCCUAAUGCAGAACUUCUUUUAUGCACAACCCCAGUGCGGGAGUGUGAAUUGGUGAUCCCACUACAUUGGUUAACUGAGUGCAAUGGAAUUAGCACGGCGGCCAAGUUAAGGCGUAUUUCCAUGCCGGUGGGCCGAGCUCGACGGCAAUCCGGCACAGGCGGUGUCCACCAACAGCUCCUCUUCCAAGGACAAAGUGGGCCACGCACAACAGACCUGCAUGCAGAUUUUCGUUUUCAUCCCAUCUGA